UUUUUUGCUCUCUUCUCUUGGUUGGGUCCGUUUUUGAAUGAAGAAGAGUUUCUUCGAUCGAGAGUGCUGGUGAGGGAAGAUUCAUGUUAAAUAAUCUUAAGAUUAAAUUAAGUGUUUAUCAAUUUCUCUGUAUCGCGACUUUUAGGGUUCAUAGAUAUGUUGUACUGAUCUCUCUAGGGUUUUAUUUUGGUUGGUUUGAAAUCACGGCACGAAACUAGUACAAUCGGCUGGGGGCUUCUUCUCUGCAGGAUGAUUAGAAACUGCGACGGAGGUUUCCGGGAGAGAAUUUUAACCGGAGGUUGAGAGAUUGCAAGGAGACUUUUGGCGAUGAUUGUGUGAAUCUUCUGGGAAGAAGAGAGCGAGGGCGAAGAACUGAUCGGCUUCAUCUUCCAGUAGCCGCCAUCACUGCGCAGUUGAAGAAGAAGAAGAUUUUAGCUUCUUCGUUUGAUUUGUAUCUCUGAACGUGAGGGAAUACUAAUUUCAAAAACAGCAUACAGAGACAUUUGCCUAAUCCGAUCGAAAAUAUCAUAUAUGAUUCUAGUGAUUGAUGGUCUUUGACUCAAUACGUCUUCUUUCUCCACUUCAAAUUCCCCAUCCAUAACUGAGAGCCUAAUUUUGACCACAAAGUUACAACUUUUUUCUAGAUUGGACAGAGAUACUAAGCAAAACCUUCAAUCUGCCCUAAUGUCUAGGAGGAACAAGGGUUUGGCGCAAGAUCUUAAAAGAAUUGUAUAUAAUUGUGCUACAUCCUUUGUCUUCUGAGGUCAUUUCUCGCUAGGCUACUAUAAAUAUAGGAACCAUUCACUCAUGGAAAGUCCACUGUUGUGAAAGCUAUCUCUGGUGUGCAGACUGUUCGUUUUAAGAAUGAAUUUGUGCGUAACAUUACCAUUAAGCUUGGAUAAGCAGAUGCCAAUCUUUACGAAUGUGAGGAUGAGAAAUGCCCUAGACCAAUGUGCUACAAGUCCUACCGAAGUGGAAAGGAA